rnacentral:rRNA from 1 species
UACAGAGGUGGCAAGCGUUGCUCGGAAUCACUGGGCUUAAAGGGCAUGUAGGCGGGCGAGUAAGCGCCUUGUGAAAUCCCCCGGCUCAACCGGGGAACCGCUCGGCGAACUGCUCGUCUCGAGGGAGACAGGGGCGACCGGAACUCUGGGUGGAGCGGUGAAAUGCGUAGAUAUCAGGAGGAACACCUGUGGCGAAAGCGGCGCACUGGACCACAACUGACGCUGAGGCGCGAAAGCUAGGGGAGCAAACAGG